rnacentral:lncRNA from 1 species
AAAAAGACAAAGAAUUGGGUUUUUUUUUUCUUCAUAGGAUUUUGGGAAGACUGAGGCAAUUGUUGCUGAAUAGUCGAAGUGUUGUACUGGUGAAUCGGGAUUUUAAUGAAGUGAGUGUGAUUACUCUUGACUGUUUUGUGAAAUCGAGUUACGUUUGUGAUGAAGAAUUAAAAGGGUGUCUAUAGGAUUGAGUAUGCAGAGUGAAUGAAAUUUAUUGGGUUAAUCUAACGAGGCAAUCAAUGGAUAC